AGUGAUUGCAUCCUGUCUGUGGAGGAGCAUGGCAUCCCCAGCCUUUUUUGCUGCGCUCUCGUCGACGUGUCAACGUCAGGCCACAAAAUCUCCCCAGUCCGAGAACUUAAUUGUACAAUGUCAUUCUUUUACGUGGCCACGAUCAACUUCUUGUUUCCAGGUAACUUGAGCUUCACAACACACUGCUGCCUCCAAGCUUUCCCACCUGGUCCCAGCAGACGGCAGCCACACGGACAAGCAGCGGAGCUCCUUGCCUCAAGCCGCAGGCCGUGAGCGAAGCCCGGGUGGAGCGAGGCCCGGGUGGAGCCAGGCCCCGCCCUCCACCAUCCCAGCAUGCUUUGGGCACAGGUUCCGCAGCAGCUGAAGAAUCCCAGUAGUGGCUGCACGCGAAGCGCUUGAUGUCCAUCUGUUGCUGACUUUGACUAGACCCCACUAAACACUCAGAGUGGAUGAAGAAAGAUGUGGAAUACUGAGGAAGGGGCAGAACUGAAGACAACAUUGUCCUGGCUCUGGACAUAUAAUUUUGUUUAACCUUCAAGUCAAGCCAAGGAUCCUCUGGUGUGCAAAUCACGACAGUGGAAUGAUGCAAUGGGGCAUAUGGACAAUGAAUCAGGUAAUAAAUUGAGUGUAACACUAAUUAUAUUCACUAUGAACUGAAAUAUAUACAUUUGAUGACCGUGAUGGCACACCAAUGUUCAAAGCCCAAGGUGAAAAAUGCAUUUCAACUUCUCUCUUUAUAAAAACUCAGCAGCCUGCUACAGUCUGUGUCUGGCAUCAAAUUCUAUAUAUCUACCUGUGUUUUCAGUGUGGAAACCCAAUUCCUAAAGGAAAGGUCAUUAUCAUUAUUAAGUUUUAUAAGAAAAUCAGUACGUACUAGUAUCUAUUUAAUAACGGAGACAUCAUGAAUGUCAGACUUAACACAAGUUGCAGAGUGCUAAUAACUCCUAAAGUGUAUCCUUGUCUCAAGUAGAAGUCAGUAUUGGAAAUUUUAUAUUACCUGCUCUGCCUGAAAGCAUUAAAAAGUAUUUCUGUAAUAGCUAGGCAAAAAAAAAAAGUGACUUUUUUACAACUUUGCCUAAUUUCUGGUUCAAUUUCAAAGCUGAUAAUAGUCAAGUCAUAUGGCAUUGGCUUAAAUUAAGCAAAGGGAUUAUUUUAACUACAAACAUUUUGUAUUGCCUUCAGGAUGAAAUAAAGCAUUUAUGUGUGUCUGUUUGCAAGUUUGUAAGGCAUAUGUGUUCUAGAUACAUCAUUAGCUAUAUCAAAAAUGUUUUUUCCAUAGUUCUUUUAGUUUUGGAAUUGCAUGGAUAUAAAAUAUGCAUUUAUUCAGAAACUAAACAAAAAAACUUUAGUAAUUUCUGCAUUACAAUGACCCUAAUUCAAGUCCAGUGAUAGAUUGAAAGAGGUUGUUUCUUUUUCUAUUAUAUAUUUAAAUUAAAAAUAGGAAGAUGUAGUUUCUACUAAUGAGUUUUGUAGGGCUGUUUUAAUAUGAUGUCCCUUAGGAGAUUUCUUCACUCGGUAUGAAGGCUCCUAAGAGGUGCUUGUGCACCUGAUUAAUUCAUAAAUGGCGCUGAGGGCUGCACAUUUGCCCAAUCCUAGUUAAAUCAUAGUAGGCGGCUAUUCCUCUGUAGGAUGCACUGCAAAUUGUGAUGCUCUUAUUAUACACCUAAUUACAGCAUUCUACACCAGUCUUAUUCUUUUCAUAAAUUCUUACAAAUGUGACGUCCAUUUUAGAAGUUAGAGAUCGAGGUUCAUUAAAAUGACUUCAAUCCAUAUGAUUGAGAUAGAACGGUGACUUGUCAUUCAAUAGAAAAAUGCUCUGAAAUUCUAAGAAUAUAUAUUAAAAUAUGGAGAAAUUAAAACAUAACGAUUUACAGAAUUAAUUUUGUGUUAAGAAUAAUAAGCAAGUAGUUACUAUGUGAAUAUAAGAUGAACAAAUGAAAAACAUUAGAAACUAUAGAUGUAGUAGUUUUGGGGUGAGUAACCAGUUUAAAAUUUUUCAUGUUCUAGAGCAUAACACUUAAUCCUUCUGUACCCCUGUACCUUGUGCAGGGUAGUAAUCCAACCUAUCUU